rnacentral:misc_RNA from 1 species
GAUGAAGAACGUAGCGAAAUGCGAUACUUGGUGUGAAUUGCAGAAUCCCGUGAACCAUCGAGUCUUUGAACGCAAGUUGCGCCCGAAGCCACUAGGCCGAGGGCACGCCUGCCUGGGCGUCACACGCCGUUGCCCCCCCAUCUACUCCUUCGGGAUUGCGGGGGGCGGAUGAUGGCCUCCCGUGCGCCUCGCCGCGCGGUUGGCAUAAAUGCCAAGUCCUCGGCGACGCACGCCACGACAAUCGGUGGUUGCGAAACCUCGGUUGCCCGUCGUGUGCGGUCGUCGCGCAUCGAGGGCUCGAAAAAAUUGCCGGGUUCCGGCUCGGCUUUCAACGCGACCCCAGGUCAGGCGGGGUUACCCGCUGAAUUUAAGCAUAUCAAUAAGCGGAGGA